UACGAAGGGGGCUAGCGUUGCUCGGAAUCACUGGGCGUAAAGGGUGCGUAGGCGGGUCUUUAAGUCAGGGGUGAAAUCCCAGAGCUCAACUCUGGAACUGCCUUUGAUACUGGGUAUCUCGAGUAUGGAAGAGGUGAGUGGAAUUCCGAGUGUAGAGGUGAAAUUCGUAGAUAUUAGGAAGAACACCAGUGGCGAAGGCGGCUCACUGGUCCGGUACUGACGCUGAGGCGCGAAAGCGUGGGGAGCGAACAGG
rnacentral:rRNA from 1 species